CCCUGCGUUCGAAAGUGAUCGCGGUCUCGCCCRUGACCCGGUCAUUGAUAGCGCAGGGAGAGCGACGGCGGGAGCGUUUCCCGUGUGUGGCGGCGGCGCCUCCAUCCCCGCCAGACCCUGGUGCUCCCGGACA
ensembl:snoRNA SNORA71 Small nucleolar RNA SNORA71